CCCUCUCCAAGUGAAUCAGCUUUGGUGUAAGUCGAUCCUUCGGGUUAGUGGCGGACGGGUGAGUAACGCGUGGGAACCUGCCCUCAGGAGGGGGAUAACGGCUGGAAACGGCCGCUAAUACCCCAUAUGCCGAGAGGUGAAAUGAGAUUCGCCUGAGGAUGGGCCCGCGUCUGAUUAGCUAGUUGGUGGGGUAAAGGCCUACCAAGGCGACGAUCAGUAGCUGGUCUGAGAGGAUGAUCAGCCACACUGGGACUGAGACACGGCCCAGACUCCUACGGGAGGCAGCAGUGGGGAAUUUUCCGCAAUGGGCGAAAGCCUGACGGAGCAACGCCGCGUGAGGGAUGAAGGCCUCUGGGCUGUAAACCUCUUUUCUCAAGGAAGAAGACCUGACGGUACUUGAGGAAUAAGCCACGGCUAAUUCCGUGCCAGCAGCCGCGGUAGUACGGGAGUGGCAAGCGUUAUCCGGAAUUAUUGGGCGUAAAGCGUCCGCAGGUGGCCCUGAAAGUCUGUCGUUAAAACGUGGAGCUUAACUCCAUUUCAGCGAUGGAAACUACAGGGCUAGAGUGUGGUAGGGGCAGAGGGAAUUCCCGGUGUAGCGGUGAAAUGCGUAGAUAUCGGGAAGAACACCAGUGGCGAAGGCGCUCUGCUGGGCCAUCACUGACACUCAUGGACGAAAGCCAGGGGAGCGAAAGGGAUUAGAUACCCCUGUAGUCCUGGCCGUAAACGAUGAACACUAGGUGUCGGGGGAAUCGACCCCCUCGGUGUCGUAGCCAACGCGUUAAGUGUUCCGCCUGGGGGAGUACGCACGCAAGUGUGAAACUCAAAGGAAUUGACGG
rnacentral:rRNA from 1 species